UGGGGAAUCUUGGACAAUGGGCGCAAGCCUGAUCCAGCCAUGCCGCGUGAGUGAAGAAGGCCUUAGGGUUGUAAAACUCUUUCGCCGGAGAAGAUAAUGACGGUAUCCGGAGAAGAAGCCCCGGCUAACUUCGUGCCAGCAGCCGCGGUAAUACGAAGGGGGCUAGCGUUGUUCGGAAUUACUGGGCGUAAAGCGCACGUAGGCGGGUCUGUAAGUAGAGGGUGAAAUCCCAGGGCUCAACCCUGGAACUGCCUUCUAGACUGCAGGCCUGGAGGUCAGGAGAGGCGAGCGGAAUUCCGAGUGUAGAGGUGAAAUUCGUAGAUAUUCGGAGGAACACCAGUGGCGAAGGCGGCUCGCUGGACUGAUACUGACGCUGAGGUGCGAAAGCGUGGGGAGCAAACAGGAUUAGAUACCCUUGUAGUCCCUGAGCGGGCUGGCAAGGCGCAU
rnacentral:rRNA from 1 species